GACGCCGGCGGCGUGUUUAAGAAUGCAAGUCGCACGGGAUAAGACAUGUAGCAAUACCUGUUUUAUUUAGUGGCGCACGGGUGAGUAACACGUGAAUUACAUGCCCUAUAGAGGGGAAUAGCCCAGGGAAACUUGGAUUAAUACCCCAUAGUCUCGCAAGAGUAAAGGUGGCCAGCAAUGGCUGUCGCUAUAGGAUUGGUUCGCGCCCUAUCAGCUUGUUGGUGAGGUAACGGCUCACCAAGGCAAUGACGGGUACCUGGUCUGAGAGGACGAUCAGGCACACUGGAACUGAGACACGGUCCAGACACCUACGGGUGGCAGCAGUCGAGAAUAAUUCACAAUGGGGGCAACCCUGAUGGUGCAACGCCGCGUGGAGGAUGACGGUCUUCGGAUUGCAAACUCCUGUCAUCCCGGGAGAAAGACCUGGGAGUGAAUCGCUACAGCCUUGUAGUCCGGACGAGCAAGGNCCGCUACCUCGUGCCAUCAGCCCGCUAUACACGGUCCCAGCGUCGUUCGCAUCCNCGCGUAAGGCGCCCCCCGCNUNUAAGAACUUUACUCUCGCCCACCCCCCCCCAUCCCCCC
rnacentral:rRNA from 1 species